rnacentral:rRNA from 1 species
UACGUAGGGGGCAAGCGUUGUCCGGAAUCAUUGGGCGUAAAGCGCGUGUAGGCGGCCCGGUAAGUCCGCUGUGAAAGUCGGGGGCUCAACCCUCGAAUGCCGGUGGAUACUGUCGGGCUAGAGUACGGAAGAGGCGAGUGGAAUUCCUGGUGUAGCGGUGAAAUGCGCAGAUAUCAGGAGGAACACCAAUUGCGAAGGCAGCUCGCUGGGACGUUACUGACGCUGAUGCGCGACAGCGUGGGGAGCAAACAGG